AUGGAAAAUCAGUGGUCAUUACAAUGGUGGUUUCUUCAGAAUGCAUUCUCCGUAAUAUUUUUUGCAACUAUAGAAAAUGUGCUGCACCUAAUGGAUUGGUGGUCUGUUAUUCCAUUUGUACAGCCAGCUCAUGCCUUUGAUCCCAAGCCUAUUUUUCAGACAGAAUGCGCAGCAGUAGUGUCUUGGUGGCUUACAACUCAAGAGAUGUGCUAUUUGUGUCAGACUGCAGUGCUCAGUUACAAGAUAUGGUGCACACAACCUGAUGGGAAGACAUCUUCUGUUGCUGAAGCUAGUACUUGUGGCUCACUGAAUUGGAUCAAGCUAGUGGUGGCGGAGCAUCAGUUCUUCACACAAAGCGCCACCUCCCAAACAGCAGAUGUCACAGAACAAUGGACCAUUAUAUGA
rnacentral:rRNA from 1 species